UGUUACGACUUCAUCCCAAUCACCGAUCCCACCUUUGGCAGCUCCCUCCUUGCGGUUGGGCCACUGACUUUGGGUGUUACCGACUUUCGUGAUGUGACGGGCGGUGUGUACAAGCCCCGGGAACGUAUUCACCGUAGCGUUGCUGAUCUACGAUUACUAGCAACUCCGACUUCAUGGGGUCGAGUUGCAGACCCCAAUCCGAACUGAGACUGGCUUUAUCGGAUUCGCUCCACCUUGCGGUAUCGCAGCCGUUUGUACCAGCCAUUGUAGCAUGCGUGCAGCCCAAGACAUAAGGGGCAUGAUGAUUUGACGUCAUCCCCACCUUCCUCCGAGUUAACCCCGGCAGUCUCCUGUGAGUCCCCAACUAAAUGCUGGCAACACAGAACGAGGGUUGCGCUCGUUGCGGGACUUAACCCAACAUCUCACGACACGAGCUGACGACAACCAUGCACCACCUGUAUACAGACCUUGCGGCUAUGACAUCUCUGCCAUAUUCCUGUAUAUGUCAAGCCUUGGUAAGGUUCUUCGCGUUGCGUCGAAUUAAGCCGCAUGCUCCGCUGCUUGUGCGGGGCCCCGUCAAUUCCUUUGAGUUUUAAUCUUGCGAUCGUACUC
rnacentral:rRNA from 1 species